CCUACGGGAGGCAGCAGUGGGGAAUAUUGGGCAAUGGGCGCAAGCCUGACCCAGCAACGCCGCGUGAAGGAAGAAGGCUUUCGGGUUGUAAACUUCUUUUCUCAGGGACGAAGCAAGUGACGGUAGCUGAGGAAUAAGCCACGGCUAACUACGUGCCAGCAGCCGCGGUAAUACGUAGGUGGCAAGCGUUAGCCGGAUUUACUGGGUGUAAAGGGCGCGUAGGCGGGGAAGCAAGUCAGAUGUGAAAACCCGGGGCUCAACCUGUGGCCUGCAGUUGAAACUGGUUUUCUUGAGUACUGGAGAGGCCGACGGCAUUCCUUGUGUAGCGGUGAAAUGCGUAGAUAUUAGGAGGAACCCCAGUGGCGACGGCGGCUUACUGGACUGUAACUGACGUUGAGGCUCGAAAGCGUGGGGAGCAAACAGGAUUAGAUACCCCUGUAGUC
rnacentral:rRNA from 1 species